GUGGAAGGGGGCUUGCUCCCGAUAGCGGUGUGUCAGUCAUGAAUGUAUUGACUGACACACCGCUAUCGGGAGCAAGCCCCCUCCCAC
rnacentral:misc_RNA from 1 species